CAUAACAGUUACAGAAAGGCUCCAUUUUCAGAUAUUGCUGGGAAAAACAGAAGAAUACCGGAAUGGUUAACUUUGCCUCUCUAGAAUUACUCUGCAUCAUUCCUGAAAAGACUUAAAAUAGUACUCGUCAAUCCUGUUAAAAUGAUCAGCUGCCUGCCAGAGCUACAGACGGAACAAAAGCUCCCUUCCCUCUCUGAUUUGCUUAAAGCAGUUUCAGCCUAAAGGGUUACCAGAUGCAGAGAAAGACGAGGCUCCUGGAGAAAAGGAAACUCUGACUCAUGCAGCUUUUCAUUAGCUAUACUUGCCAAAAGCCCCUCUUCAACACAACUUGUAAAAGAUAACAAGAGGCUUGUCUUUUGCAUCUGGUCAUUGUUUCCCUGUUUACUGUUUGAUUUCUCUGAAAACCCUAAACAA